rnacentral:rRNA from 1 species
CGCUCUUUGUUAUAUAAAAAUAGAGAGUCGUGCCUGCCCGGUGAGUUUUUAACGGCCGCAGUACCCUGACUGUGCUAAGGUAGCAUAAUCAUUUGCCUUUUAAUUAAAGGCUGGAAUGAACGGCUUGACGAGAAUUUUUCUGUCUCUAAUAUACUAAAUAGAAAUUAAUCUUUAGGUGCAGAAGCCUAAAUAAAAGCGAAAGACGAAAAGACCCUAUCGAACUUUAAAAUAAAACUAAAUGGAUUUUUGUAGAAAAAUAAUUUUUAAUUUACUUUUUUUGUUGGGGCGACAGAAGAACCUAAAAAGCUUCUUUUGGUUUAAAAAACUUAUUAGUUAAACGGAUCUAAAUUGAUAAUAAUAAGACAAGUUACCGUAGGGAUAACAGCGUUAUUUUUCUAGAGAGUCCUUAUCGAAAGAAAAGUUUGCGACCUCGAUGUUGGAUUAGAAUUCCUUAAAGGUGGAGAAGCUUUUAAAGGAGGUCUGUUCGACCUUUAAUUUUCUACA